AGAGUUUGAUCAUGGCUCAGAUUGAACGCUGGCGGCAGGCCUAACACAUGCAAGUCGAGCGGUAGCACAGAGAGCUUGCUCUCGGGUGACGAGCGGCGGACGGGUGAGUAAUGUCUGGGAAAACUGCCUGAUGGAGGGGGAUAACUACUGGAAACGGUAGCUAAUACCGCAUAACGUCGCAAGACCAAAGUGGGGGACCUUCGGGCCUCAUGCCAUCAGAUGUGCCCAGAUGGGAUUAGCUAGUAGGUGGGGUAAUGGCUCACCUAGGCGACGAUCCCUAGCUGGUCUGAGAGGAUGACCAGCCACACUGGAACUGAGACACGGUCCAGACUCCUACGGGAGGCAGCAGUGGGGAAUAUUGCACAAUGGGCGCAAGCCUGAUGCAGCCAUGCCGCGUGUGUGAAGAAGGCCUUCGGGUUGUAAAGCACUUUCAGCGGGGAGGAAGGCGGUGAGGUUAAUAACCUCAUCGAUUGACGUUACCCGCAGAAGAAGCACCGGCUAACUCCGUGCCAGCAGCCGCGGUAAUACGGAGGGUGCAAGCGUUAAUCGGAAUUACUGGGCGUAAAGCGCACGCAGGCGGUCUGUCAAGUCGGAUGUGAAAUCCCCGGGCUCAACCUGGGAACUGCAUUCGAAACUGGCAGGCUAGAGUCUUGUAGAGGGGGGUAGAAUUCCAGGUGUAGCGGUGAAAUGCGUAGAGAUCUGGAGGAAUACCGGUGGCGAAGGCGGCCCCCUGGACAAAGACUGACGCUCAGGUGCGAAAGCGUGGGGAGCAAACAGGAUUAGAUACCCUGGUAGUCCACGCCGUAAACGAUGUCGAUUUGGAGGUUGUGCCCUUGAGGCGUGGCUUCCGGAGCUAACGCGUUAAAUCGACCGCCUGGGGAGUACGGCCGCAAGGUUAAAACUCAAAUGAAUUGACGGGGGCCCGCACAAGCGGUGGAGCAUGUGGUUUAAUUCGAUGCAACGCGAAGAACCUUACCUGGUCUUGACAUCCACAGAACUUUCCAGAGAUGGAUUGGUGCCUUCGGGAACUGUGAGACAGGUGCUGCAUGGCUGUCGUCAGCUCGUGUUGUGAAAUGUUGGGUUAAGUCCCGCAACGAGCGCAACCCUUAUCCUUUGUUGCCAGCGGUUCGGCCGGGAACUCAAAGGAGACUGCCAGUGAUAAACUGGAGGAAGGUGGGGAUGACGUCAAGUCAUCAUGGCCCUUACGACCAGGGCUACACACGUGCUACAAUGGCAUAUACAAAGAGAAGCGACCUCGCGAGAGCAAGCGGACCUCAUAAAGUAUGUCGUAGUCCGGAUUGGAGUCUGCAACUCGACUCCAUGAAGUCGGAAUCGCUAGUAAUCGUAGAUCAGAAUGCUACGGUGAAUACGUUCCCGGGCCUUGUACACACCGCCCGUCACACCAUGGGAGUGGGUUGCAAAAGAAGUAGGUAGCUUAACCUUCGGGAGGGCGCUUACCACUUUGUGAUUCAUGACUGGGGUGAAGUCGUAACAAGGUAACCGUAGGGGAACCUGCGGUUGGAUCACCU
rnacentral:rRNA from 1 species